UACGGAGGAUCCAAGCGUUGUCCGGAUUUAUUGGGUUUAAAGGGUGCGUAGGCGGCGGGGCAAGUCAGGUGUGAAAUCUCGGGGCUCAACCCCGAAACUGCACUUGAUACUGCCUUGCUCGAGUACUGGAGAGGAGACUGGAAUUUACGGUGUAGCAGUGAAAUGCGUAGAUAUCGUAAGGAAGACCAGUGGCGAAGGCGAGUCUCUGGACAGUUACUGACGCUGAGGCACGAAGGCCAGGGGAGCAAACGGG
rnacentral:rRNA from 1 species